UACGAAGGGGGCUAGCGUUGCUCGGAUUCACUGGGCGUAAAGGGCGCGUAGGCGGUCGUGACAAGUCACUUGUGAAAUCUCCGGGCUUAACUCGGAACGGUCAAGUGAUACUGUCGGACUAGAGUACAGAAGGGGGCAACUGGAAUUCUCGGUGUAGCGGUGAAAUGCGUAGAUAUCGAGAGGAACACCUGGCGGCGAAGGCGGGGUUGCUGGGCUG
rnacentral:rRNA from 1 species